GUACACUCCUGCGGGAGGCAGCAGUGGGGAAUUUUGGACAAUGGGCGAAAGCCUGAUCCAGCAAUGCCGCGUGUGUGAAGAAGGCCUUCGGGUUGUACAGCCCUUUUGUCCGGAAAGAAAUCCUUGGCUCUAAUACAGUCGGGGGAUGACGGUACCGGAAGAAUAAGCACCGGCUAACUACGUGCCAGCAGCCGCGGUAAUACGUAGGGUGCGAGCGUUAAUCGGAAUUACUGGGCGUAAAGCGUGCGCAGGCGGUUUGCUAAGACCGAUGUGAAAUCCCCGGGCUCAACCUGGGAACUGCAUUGGUGACUGGCAGGCUAGAGUAUGGCAGAGGGGGGUAGAAUUCCACGUGUAGCAGUGAAAUGCGUAGAGAUGUGGAGGAAUACCGAUGGCGAAGGCAGCCCCCUGGGCCAAUACUGACGCUCAUGCACGAAAGCGUGGGGAGCAAACAGGAUUAGAAACCCCUGUAGUCCCA
rnacentral:rRNA from 1 species